GUCUGCAACUCGACUACAUGAAGCUGGAAUCGCUAGUAAUCGCGAAUCAGAAUGUCGCGGUGAAUACGUUCCCGGGUCUUGUACACACCGCCCGUCACACCAUGGGAGUCAGUAACGCCCGAAGCCGGUGACCCAACCAGUUCAGGAGGGAGCCGUCGAAGGUGGGACCGAUAACUGGGGUGAAGUCGUAACAAGGUAUC
rnacentral:rRNA from 1 species